CUUUCACAGCAGACACAAUUCUUCCUUCUAUUUUCCUUACUUCCAAAAUUUCAAUCGAAACACAAGAAAUCUCUUUUAACAAUAUCUACCUCAAAUCAAAUUCAGCCAUACACCAACAAAUCAAAGAACACAGCUUGUCCACUUGUUAGAAGGUUUUAGCACUGGUUUUACAAGAAGAGAAUUGUGCAAAUUUUAUCUACAGGCUUGUCCUAUCAAGGUUGAGCGGCAGGUGGUGUUGUGCGAGGCUGAGGGAGGAUGUUGCUGUAGUUCCAUAUAAUAAUUUCCGCUGCCAUAAUAUUCACUUAGGUGGAUAUCUUUUGAGAUUGACUCUUUAAAUAUUCUUAGCCUAAUUAUUAUGAACCCUUUUGGCAAUCGCUUUCUAGCAAUUGAACCUCGCAUAUAUGUAUGUCUAGUAUGAAGUCUUAUCUUGUUGUCUCAGACCUCCGAACUUUUGAUCCUGGUUGGGAAAAUUUUUAUCUUAAUUGUUGUAUUUAUUAUCCUUCAAUUGCGGCACUCCUUUAUUAACAAUGUAUUACCUGAAUCUAAGAACAUAUCACCCAUUUUAUUCUAACAAAGUCUAGCAAAUCCCAUUAAGUAGCCGUUUC